rnacentral:lncRNA from 10 species
CUUCAGAACUCGGGGUUUGGUGAGAAAUUUGUUGGCACAGGACAGUCUGGAUGCUCUUGUAUACUCAACUGUUUUGUUUGACUUUCCCAGGGGAGGGGGAAAUAUUACCCUUGGGAAACAGGCUUCAGGGAAAUUGAUUUUCAUGAGAAAAACAUAUUGAGCAAAGAGGCAGGACCUGACUCCCUAAUGGGAGGAAGUUAAGGCAGGAUAUUAAGUUGGGCAGUUAGAGAAGCAGCUAGACUGAGAAUGCUCUGGAAGGUGGGUCCUGACUCUCUGUCAGGAUGAACGAAGCAGCCAGAUCAUGAGGACAUGGUGGCCAGUCCUUCUAGGGAAGAAAAGGACAAUGAGAGGUCCACCAGCAUCCUGGGCACAAUGUUGGUUGUAUAACAGAUCUCCAGGCAUGAGAGGUUCACCAAAAAGAACAACAUUGGAGUGUGAGGUCUCCGUCGAGUGCUCACCAGUACCAUGAGGGGAAGAUUCCCAGAAAAGAUGGCUACAUAGACCUGAUAGCAGAAUCCAGAGUUGCCAUCUGGGACCAUGUGAUAGAAGCUGGGGAUUGAAAUUGCAGAGGAACAGCACAGAAGCAGCCUGGAGGCCACAGUAACCCUGAACAGCCUACCUGGCCCUUUCAUGGAAAUAAAUGUAUUUCUAUUUUGUCUAAGUCACUGAAAGUUUUUAGUCUUUUUGUUACAACAGCCUAACCUGCACUCUAACUAACAAAUGAUUACAAUUACCUCCUAGGUUAUUAUGAUUAUUCAACAAGAUACUCCAUGUAAAGCACUUAGCAGAGCAAUUGACACAAAGUAAAUGGCAGCUUUCAUUAUGAUUUCUGUUGUUUGUGACUUCAUUCCUCUUCUCCAUUCUUCCCUUCCCCUGAUAUGUUUACAUCUAAUUUUAGUUCCCUUGAGAUCCAAUGUUUGAUCAGGCC